GAAAUGCGAUAAGUAGUGUGAAUUGCAGAAUUCAGUGAAUCAUCGAAUCUUUGAACGCACAUUGCGCCCCUUGGUAUUCCAUGGGGCAUGCCUGUUCGAGCGUCAUUUGUACCCUCAAGCUUUGCUUGGUGUUGGGCGUCUUGUCGGAAUAUCCGACUCGCCUUAAAUACAUUGGCAGCCGGCACUUUGGCCUAGGAGCGCAGCACAUUUUGCGAUCGUAAGCCGUUGUGACAGCAUCCAUAAGAUUUAUUUUACCACGUUCGACCUCGGAUCAGGUAGGGAUACCCGCUGAACUUAAGC
rnacentral:misc_RNA from 1 species